rnacentral:lncRNA from 10 species
UUUCAGGGCCGUUGUCGCCUCCGGGCGGUCCGCGGGUCCCGAGCGGACUGGGACUCUGGAGACGUGCCCCCAACCCCACCGCCAUUCACCCUGUCAUUGCAGGGGAGAGAACAGAAUAAAGACGGGGCAAACAAUUGCAUCCAUCAUCAGCCACAUCAGCCUUAGGAGAUACAUCCAUAUCAUGAGAAAACACUACCUGAAAUUGGGGACCACUGGAGGGAGUUUAAGUCUGCAAGUAGGAAAAGACUAAUGACCCAGCUCAGUCAGGCAGAAGGAGUUCCUUCUAUUUCCCAGGAAGGUUAAAGAACAAGGAGAUGGCUGGCUAUUUAAGAAGGAAAGGCAGAGGCUGCAGAAAUUGAGCCUAACGGCUUAUCAGAUGGGAUGGAUAAUUCUUUAAGU